AGACCCGAAACCCGGUGAUCUAGCCAUGGGCAGGUUGAAGGUUGGGUAACACUAACUGGAGGACCGAACCGACUAAUGUUGAAAAAUUAGCGGAUGACCUGUGGCUGGGGGUGAAAGGCCAAUCAAACCGGGAGAUAGCUGGUUCUCCCCGAAAGCUAUUUAGGUAGCGCCUCGUGAAUUCAUCUCCGGGGGUAGAGCACUGUUUCGGCUAGGGGGCCAUCCCGGCUUACCAACCCGAUGCAAACUGCGAAUACCGGAGAAUGUUAUCACGGGAGACACACGGCGGGUGCUAACGUCCGUCGUGAAGAGGGAAACAACCCAGACCGCCAGCUAAGGUCCCAAAGUCAUGGUUAAGUGGGAAACGAUGUGGGAAGGCCCAGACAGCCAGGAUGUUGGCUUAGAAGCAGCCAUCAUUUAAAGAAAGCGUAAUAGCUCACUGGUCGAGUCGGCCUGCGCGGAAGAUGUAACGGGGCUAAACCAUGCACCGAAGC
rnacentral:rRNA from 5 species